GAUGAAGAACGUAGCAAAAUGCGAUAAGUAAUGUGAAUUGCAGAAUUCAGUGAAUCAUCGAAUCUUUGAACGCACAUUGCGCCCGCCAGUAUUCUGGCGGGCAUGCCUGUUCGAGCGUCAUUUCAACCCUCAAGCACAGCUUGGUGUUGGGACUCGCGUUAAUUCGCGUUCCCCAAAUUGAUUGGCGGUCACGUCGAGCUUCCAUAGCGUAGUAGUAAAACCCUCGUUACUGGUAAUCGUCGCGGCCACGCCGUUAAACCCCAACUUCUGAAUGUUGACCUCGGAUCAGGUAGGAAUACCCGCUGAACUUAAGCAUAUCAAUAGCGGAGGA
rnacentral:misc_RNA from 1 species